UUGUCCUGGAUUCCUUUGUGACCUCCUGGAUGACUCAUCGCUGUGCUCUUGGGGUAAUUUUUGUAGGCCUGUCACUCCUUGAAGGUUCCAUAUUUUCUACAUUUGUGGUUAAUGUCUCUUACUGUAGGUUGCUGGAGUACUAAAGCUUUACAAAUGGCGUUAUAAACCUUUUCCAAACUGAUAAAUCUGAUUACUGUCAUGAGCUGCCCUGCAGUUCCAUUGUUGGAGCCUGGGUGGCGCUCUCUCCCCUCCCCUAUCUCUUUCAAGCACCUUCCUCAGCCGCACACCUGUCAGCAAUCAACCCUCAUUACCACCUGCAUUUAAGCCUGCCUGAUCCCGGAAAACCUUGCCAGAGUAUUGCAGCUCCUCCAAUGGUACCACGGCUCACUUGUCUCAAACCCUUCGCUAUUAAAUUGGACCUCCUAACAAAGCAGUCAAGAGCAGCCAUCAUCCAACCUGUUCCAGUUAUUUCUACAAUCCUCGAAAAGGGUUCAUAGAUUUCAUCUGAUCCAAUGGGAUUUUGUCUGAGAAAUGCUUAGGGUGACUACGGGAGAAAGUGUGCUUUCCUCAUGUCACACGAUCCAUCACAACUCUCCUCGCGGGUGGAUCAGUGCAGGUUACGGUUGCGCUCCCAAAGCAAAGUUGUGCGAACUUGAUGUAUGUGCUGUCGACUGGCAGUUAAUGAAACAACAGCCAGAGCAGCCUGCUUGUCUCUUUGCUUUCUCUUCAUCUUGAGGAAUUCCACCUUCCUAUGUGUGCAAAAAUUAAAAAUGUCUCAGCAGAGUAAUGAACGCUUAAAAUUGUCUUUUGAAAGUAUAUACAGUAUAUACAGGUAUAUAUGAACACACAUGCACAUGUAUUGUGCCUGUUCCCCAGUGCACAAGUUGUCUUACGAACUAAUAUGAGACUAAACAAAGGGAGCCCCUGGAUUGGGAGGGUGGGUUUUAAUUGGCUGCUAGGCAAGGGAAGCACUGUUGAUGCCACACGUCUUCCACUUGUCUCUCCUCUCCCUCCACCCCUGAGACCAAUAGAUAACCACGUAUAUGGACAGAGACAGAUUGAGAGUUGCAGUAACACAAUUCAUAUGAAGGGCUGGGAGGAAGUGAGCACUGGAAGACUCUUAGUUGUUGGAUCCAACAAUGAGAAUUGGAUGAAUAGAAGACUUAUUCACUAAUUAAUUCAAAGCAGGUGCAAAGAAGUGAAUACACGUUAUGUUUUGUUUUUACCAGGAAACGGAUCACAGCUAUUUACUGCAACUGUUAUAAAAUUUUUGUUGAUAGUAUUAGCAUCUUUAUGUCAUGAUCAACUCUGAGUUGUCUUUUAUUUUUAGUCACUUGGCUCUUCCUUGUGUUUUUUCUUUGUUUUUUCUAGGCAGCACAGGAGGGAAUUAAUUAAGGCGGCAUGCACUUGGGGGCUCCCAGUCUUAAAUUCUGCAGCCAUUCUAGGAAGAUGCCAGAUUGCUUUGGGUUUUUUGCUUGUUUUAACUUUGUUGAUCACUUGUUUUCCCUGCUUGUUAGUAACAUCUAUUAGUCUUUUAGUCUUCCAUUUUUCCUACUCGUCAUUACCAUCGUAUGUUUAUUCGUCAUUUAUUUUGUAUUAAUUCAUUAAUUUUGCCUUCCCGAUGGUAGCGCUUUAUAUUACCAAUGUAUCUGUAUUUUUGUAACU